rnacentral:rRNA from 1 species
CCUACGGGAGGCUGCAGUGGGGAAUAUUGCACAAUGGGGGAAACCCUGAUGCAGCGACGCCGCGUGAGUGAAGAAGUAUCUCGGUAUGUAAAGCUCUAUCAGCAGGGAAGAAGAUAGCCGGUCCUUGCCUAAGAACCCCCGGCUACUUACGUGCCAGCAGCGGCGGUAAUACGUAGGGGGCAACCGUUACCCGGAUUUACGGGGUGUAAAGGGGGCGCAGACGGCAAUGCAAGCCAGGAGUGAAAGCCCAGGGCUCAACACCGGUACUGCUCUUGAAACUGCGUGGCUGGAGUACAGGAGGGGCAGGCGGAAUUCCUAGUGUAGCGGUGAAAUGCGUAGAUAUUAGGAGGAACACCGGUGGCGAAGGCGGCCUGCUGGACUGUGACUGACGUUGAGGCCCGAAGGCGUGGGGAGCAAACAGGAUUAGAUACCCGAGUAGUC